rnacentral:rRNA from 1 species
GACGAACGCUGGCGGCGUGCUUAACACAUGCAAGUCGAACGGAAAGGCCCUGCUUGCAGGGUACUCGAGUGGCGAACGGGUGAGUAACACGUGGGUGAUCUGCCCUGCACUUCGGGAUAAGCUUGGGAAACUGGGUCUAAUACCGGAUAGGAGCCAUCUUUAGUGUGGUGGUUGGAAAGUUUUUUCGGUGUAGGAUGAGCUCGCGGCCUAUCAGCUUGUUGGUGGGGUAAUGGCCUACCAAGGCGGCGACGGGUAGCCGGCCUGAGAGGGUGUACGGCCACAUUGGGACUGAGAUACGGCCCAGACUCCUACGGGAGGCAGCAGUGGGGAAUAUUGCACAAUGGGCGCAAGCCUGAUGCAGCGAGGCCGCGUGGGGGAUGAAGGCCUUCGGGUUGUAAACUCCUUUCGCUAGGGACGAAGCUUUGUUGUGACGGUACCUAGAUAAGAAGCACCGGCUAACUACGUG